rnacentral:tRNA from 1 species
GGAGGAAUGGUCGAGAGGCUGAAGGCACCGGUUUCGAAAACCGGCGAAGGGGCAACCCUUCCGAGGGUUCGAAUCCCUCUUCCUCCG